GUAGCGGUUGAAUCUGUUACUUCAUUGUCGCGCCUAUUAUCGCAUUACCACGAUUAGUAAAAAGUCAGAUUAUUUUUAAACAUAAUUAUUUCGCAAAAAAAGACACAAAAUUAUUUUAUCGAGAUGGAUGAAGGAUCGACUCCUAAAUCAAAAAAUCGUUUCCCCACCUCCAAAGAAAGCAGAGAAUUACGAGUUCAAGUAGCGAUGAAGAAUUAUAUCGGAAAUGAAUUGAAAUUGAGAAGGAAUAAAAUUCAGAAAGCCAAAGAAAAAUUGAAAGAAAAAGCCGGUUUGUCUAAUAAAAAGAAAAAACAAUUUCUGAAUGCGAAAAAAGAAUUCGACAAAGAAAGUUCGAAUUUCGUCAAAUCAUUUAGCAGUCAAUUGGAGUAUUCUUACUACGAUCAGAAAGAAAUUCGAGAAGACAUUCGAGCAAAGUUGAAAAAAUUAGAUAAAACUAUUCAUUUUCUGAACAAAAUUGUAAAUUCCGACGCAUAGAUGUGAUAUAUAGGCGAUAAUAAAAUGUCUUACCAGUUCA